rnacentral:misc_RNA from 1 species
GAUGAAGAACGCAGUGAAAUGCGAUAAGUAAUGUGAAUUGCAGAAUUCAGUGAAUCAUCGAAUCUUUGAACGCACAUUGCGCCCGCUAGUAUUCUGGCGGGCAUGCCUGUUCGAGCGUCAUUUCAACCAUCAAGCCCUUUAGCUUGUGUUGGGGACCUGCGGCUGCCGCAGCCCCCGAAAUGCAGUGGCGGGCUCGUUGUCACACCGAGUGCAGUAAUCAUUCUUCUCUCCGGGCGUGGCGGCGGGUUCCGGCCGUAAAAUCACCAAUUUAUCAAGGUUGACCUCGGAUCAGGUAGGAAUACCCGCUGAACUUAAGCAUAUCAAUAAGCGGAGGA